CAGAUUUGAUCGAUUUCCGCAAUAUGAUUUCAAACGAUUUGAUAAACUCUUAAUCCCUCCAAUCUUGAAGAAUUGCUAGAAUCAGUCUCUAAAGGUCUGGGAUGAGGAAGAGGAUCUGAUUAAUAUGUUAAAUCAUACUUUAGCAUAAGUUUACCUUAUGGACUUGAACCAUGAACAGUCCCAUUUGUAGGACUAUGGCAAAUGCAAUUUAUGUCUAGAUUCCAUUGCGUGGGCUAUGAUCCUUACGACUCUAGAGCAGCAAUGAAUGCAAGAAAGUACGUAUCCCGAAAUUAUUUGCCCUAUUUUAUUGCGUUUUUUGUUGUUGAAAUUUGGACAACUUGGCUCCUAUUUAUUGUUUUGGAUGAUUUAAGUUUGACAUUUUGAUUUGAUUUUAUUGAGAUUGUCUAUUAUUUUGUGGAUUGUCUAGAUGAUUGUCUGAUUUUUUUUUUUUUAAUGAUUUUUUAGCAAUGUCCGAUUUUACUACUGUUGGUAGCAAAGAUGCAAUAUGUGGAAGUAGUAGAGUGAAUUUCUAACACCUCUAGCUGGCAGCAUGGACUGGUAAAACAAAAUUAAUGUAGUAUUUCUACCAAUGACUGGAUAUUCUUCUUCAGGAGUGUGUCUGAGAAAGUUAAAGACUCUUUUGUAGCUUCUUUGAUUUGUUGUUUCUAGUAUGCAUGAGUGACUAUCUUUUAGAGUUUGAAGUUGCAACUAGUCCUGUGCUCAUUGUUGCUACCAGUAAGAUCUUCUGAGGUUAAUGGUUGUGGUCCAGUAUUGUCGUUGCUGCAGCCAGUCAGAAUGGAUACAGAGGUCAGUAUUGUCGUUGGAGUUUUGUCCAGCCCAACAGGUUAUGCUUAAUUCUUUUUUCGGCGUGUAUAGACGUGAAUAUUUUGUGCAGCCAAGAAACAGCCAUAUCUGUCUUUUAUCCAAGGGAAUAUAUGGUGGACCAAGGAUAUACAACGUACCUUUGGUUAUAUGAUGAUGCAAAUGAUUGUGACUCAUGGGGGCCGCUGUGCUGAACGUAUUGUAUAUGGUGAUGACGUAACUGAUGGAGGAAAAGACGAUCUAGAAAGGAUCACAAAGAUUUCAAGAACACACCGCUCACCGCCAAGAUCACCAAUCAACGAUCAUUCCUUGGAUCCUCACUGGGAAAUUAGGGGCUGGCGGCAACGAAUUAGGCAACACAUGUGGUUUCCAUUCGAGAAAUUUGGGACAGUAAGCAAUUUCCACCCAAUAAAUCUCUACUUCAAUUCCUUAGAAUAGAAGGAUAUACUCUAUUUAAUUUGCAUUUACUCUGUUCUCCUCUUUUUUUCUUCAAAUCAUCCAACUACCUCUCGUGCAGUUCAAUAAUAAUAAUAAUCAACAUAAAGGAUGACGCGACUAUAGGAUGGGGGUUCUUGUGGAUCCACCACCAACUUAUCGACUUGGACCAACUAUUAAUUGGAAUGCAUAUGUAAUUUGUCUUUUUGCAGGGCCUUAUCUGCCAUCGCUAUAAGUAGUACAUAACCUAGUUGAUACUCGCUGGAU